UACGUAGGGUGCAAGCGUUGUCCGGAAUUAUUGGGCGUAAAGAGCUCGUAGGCGGUUUGUCGCGUCGACUGUGAAAACUGGGGGCUUAACUCUCAGCUUGCAGUUGAUACGGGCAGACUUGAGUUCGGUAGGGGAGACUGGAAUUCCUGGUGUAGCGGUGAAAUGCGCAGAUAUCAGGAGGAACGCCGGUGGCGAAGGCGGGUCUCUGGGCCGAUACUGACGCUGAGGAGCGAAAGCGUGGGGAGCGAACAGG
rnacentral:rRNA from 1 species